rnacentral:lncRNA from 1 species
AAAUGAAAGCUUUAUAAUUACUUGAUACACCGUGGAAUGAAAAUGUAAGGUACCUUUCAGUAUGUGCUCUGAGCUUUAAUUUUUUUUGUUAAUUGGCUGAACAGUAUUUCCAGAGCUUCCUAGCUCUGGUUGUAGGAAGAAAUGGUACAGUAGUGCAGAUAGCAAUUAGGAGCCUAGAAAAUGAACGGGAGAAGUAGCAAAGCCAUUUUAAGACAAUUAACUGGUGCUGUUUCUUCUGUAAUAAAAACAAAAUGAAAUUACAAGGAGGGGAGAGCUUUCAUUUUUCUCUCCAGGAAGACUUAUUUCCAGAAAUCACAUACAGCAAAUCAGCAUGUUUCCUAUGUUUGAAGCCAACAGCUGUUUGUACUGAAAUCACCAAAGGAAGUGCACUUUGCUAACAGGACUCGGUUUGAUUUUUGAGCUUUUACUUUUUUUUUUCUUUUCAGUGACACAGGUGAAUUUUUGGAACUUUGAUUCUUGUUACAAAAUGACGUAGCACCCAGUGGAGCGUCCAUGUCAAAUGUGCCUGUGUUAGGAGUAGAGCUGUGGAGAAUAGUUACCAAUAAACAGCUGGAGGCAUUAGGAUAACAAUCUCACUUGGAGUUUAUAUGUAUUUCCACUUCUGUAGCUUUUAAUUAGAUGUGUAAGAAGAACGUUUAUCAGCUGGAAUGUUUAGUUUUAUACUAGUGUGGAUUUUCUCUGGUGAGGUUUCCACAGAAGGCUAGUUUCUGGGGGUUCACCCCACCCCCACCCCACCCUUUACUGAGUUCAGUAUUCUCCCCCAAAUCCCUAGUCUUGAUGGGAUCAUAAAGCUGGUUUUCCUCAAUUCUAAAUCAGUGUAAAUUUUCACUCUGCUUUUAACUGGGAGGCAGAUCUCUGAGUUCAAGGACAGCCAGGGAUACAUAAAGAGACCCUGUCUCAAACAAAACAAAACAAAACAAAAGUUUGUGUUCACUAGCUCUUGACCCUUGUUCUGUACCUUAGAAUUGGACCAUCAAGUCCAUGUUGUUCUUAUUUAUAGAACAGCAAAAUGGCCAUUGCAUAAAUUGUAUUUAUGUGAGCCACUUCAAUUAAAAAUUUAAGUUCAAAAUGUAUAUCACCUAUUAAAGCUAUUAAUCACAUAAGCUAAUGAAUCUAUGUAGGUUUUUAAUUUUAAGUUAAAAAGUAUCCUUUUUCAAAGUAUAUUUGUCUUUUUAAAGUGUCAGGGAUCAAACUCUGGGCCUCCUGUAUGUGAAGCAGUCAUCAAUGAACUACAUCUCCCAACACCUAAAGUGUAUUUCUAAAAUAGUUAACUGUAUUGGAAAUGAGUUGGUUUAUACAAAGUAUUAAUUGGGUUAAACAUUCUAAUUUAAAAUUACUACUAGCAAGCAAAGUUUUAAAAUAUCCUUUGAUACUUAAAGAGUCAUAUAUCCAAACUUAUGCUAAAAUAGAUUAUAAAUGUUAUGGUUUAGCCUAGAUAAAUUCAUUAAUAAUCAUAAAAUCCUUACAGGAAGCUAAAAACUGCAGUGUUAGGAUAUGUAGAUGGAAGUCAAUGACUACUAGUCUGUAGGUAACUGGAUGAUAGCUUAAGAAUGAGAGUAAAGGGCACAUAAUUAGAAUGUUUUGGUACGAGUUGGGAUUAUGGGUACAAUGGGUGCUUGCCUAUCAGGUACAGGGCUCUGGGUUUGAGUGCUAGCACUGCAAAGGAAAAAUAAAUCACUUACCAGAAUGGCUUGUUUAGAAGAGUUUAAUUGUUUAUAGUGGCCAUGAGAGAAAUCUGGUAUAGUGUAUCAGUGUUCUAUUUAAUGUAAUGGUUUUAUCAUAUAAACGAUGAUUUUAGCGGUAACAAAACACAAAAUGUUUCUUCAAAAUAAAUUAAUGCAACUU